rnacentral:rRNA from 1 species
AUUGAACGCUGGCGGCAUGCUUUACACAUGCAAGUCGAACGGCAGCGCGGGCUUCGGCCUGGCGGCGAGUGGCGAACGGGUGAGUAAUACAUCGGAACGUGCCCAGUAGUGGGGGAUAGCUCGGCGAAAGCCGGAUUAAUACCGCAUACGACCUGAGGGUGAAAGCGGGGGAUCUUCGGACCUCGCGCUAUUGGAGCGGCCGAUGGCAGAUUAGCUAGUUGGUGGGGUAAAGGCCUGCCAAGGCGACGAUCUGUAGCUGGUCUGAGAGGACGACCAGCCACACUGGGACUGAGACACGGCCCAGACUCCUACGGGAGGCAGCAGUGGGGAAUUUUGGACAAUGGGCGAAAGCCUGAUCCAGCAAUGCCGCGUGUGUGAUGAAGGCCUUCGGGUUGUAAAGCACUUUUGGCGGGAACGAAAAGGACUGUGCCAAUACCACGGUUCGAUGACGGUACCCGCAGAAUAAGCACCGGCUAACUACGUG